rnacentral:sRNA from 1 species
UCCGCCACGGAUGGCGGUGACACUAAUCAGCAGCAAGUUUUUCGUUAGAAAAACUUGUUAUGAACACUGUACAAGGAAGUACAGUGUUCAUAUUGU